AUUGAACGCUGGCGGCAGGCCUAACACAUGCAAGUCGAACGAGUGGCGGACGGGUGAGUAAUGUCUGGGAAACUGUCCGAUGGCGGGGGAUAACUACUGGAAACGGUAGCUAAUACCUCAUACCAUCGUAUCUGCCCAGAUGGGAUUAGCUAGUAGUUGGGGUAACGGCUCACCUAGGCGACGAUCCCUAGCUGGUCUGAGAGGAGGAACAGCAAAACUGGAACUGAGACACGGCCCAGACUCCUACGGGAGGCAGCAGUGGGGAAUAUUGCACAAUGGGCGAAAGCCUGAUGCAGCAAUGCCGCGUGUAUGAAGAAGGCCUUCGGGUUGUAAAGUACUUUCAGCGAGGAGGCGUUACUCGCAGAAGAAGCACCGGCUAACUACGUGCCAGCAGCCGCGGUAAUUC
rnacentral:rRNA from 1 species